rnacentral:rRNA from 1 species
GACGAACGCUGGCGGCGUGCUUAACACAUGCAAGUCGAACGGAAAGGCCCUGCUUGCAGGGUACUCGAGUGGCGAACGGGUGAGUAACACGUGGGUGAUCUGCCCUGCACUUCGGGAUAAGCUUGGGAAACUGGGUCUAAUACCGGAUAGGAACCAUCUUUAGUGUGGUGGUUGGAAAGUUUUUUCGGUGUAGGAUGAGCUCGCGGCGUAUCAGCUUGUUGGUGGGGUAAUGGCAUACCAAGGCGGCGACGGGGAGCCGGCAUGCGAGGGCGUACGGACAGUCUGGGACUGAGAGACGGCCCACACUCGUACGGGUGGCAGCAGUGGGGAAUAUUGGACAAUGGGAGCAAGCGUGAUGGAGGGAGGCCGCGUGGGGGAUGAAGGCUUUCGGGUUGUAAACUCAUUUCGCUAGGGACGAAGGUUUGUUGUGACGGUACCUAGACAAGAAGCACCGGCUAACUACGUG